rnacentral:sRNA from 1 species
UGCUACCUGGCUUAUUGUAGCCCAUUGC